CCUGAAGAAGCUCUGUGGCUGAGCGCUCGGCUGUCUACCGAAUGGGCGCUGGUUCAAAUCCAGCCUUCAGGUCCA
rnacentral:tRNA from 1 species